CAACGACUGCCAUAUCAAUAACCAGCGACAGCAACAAACUGCGAUUUUUCCCACUAUGGGGAAGAAGAGACAAAUCAAGAGACAGGAGGGAGACCAGGAGACCCUGUGUGGGGACUCCUCGUCGCCCCCCGGAGAACAGCGUCCGGCACAGGAGGAAGAGGCCACCCCCAUCCGGACUCCUCCUCCCCCUCUCCGGACCCCCCCCCCCCAUCAGGUCCCCACCUCGUCUCAAAAGAAAGAACGUCUGAGACAGGUGGUGAUCAGAUGGAUGGAGACAAAUGAGGAGGCGAAUGACCCGGUCCAAGGCCAGACCCCCCCGGACCAAGGGCAGACCCCCCCGGACCACGGCCAGACCCCCCUGGACCACGGCCAGACCGCCCCGGACCAAGGCCAGACCGCCCCGGACCAAGGCCAGAACGCCCCGGACCAAGGCCAGACCAGCCCGGACCAAGGCCAGACCGCCCCGGACCAAGGCCAGACCCCCGAUGAACCUGAACCCCAACACCAGGGGGAAGGCUCAGGCCCUUUCGUGGCCUGGCUGCCUCCGACCGUAGACGGGCCCCCCAGGAAGGACCUGGCCCAGGUGGUGGGGAACCUGAAGGUCCGGGUGAAGGGAGUCAGGAAGCUGAGCGUGGAAAGAGCAACCAUGG
ensembl:lncRNA